UGCUCGCUGGUGGUUUCGAACCACCGACCUCUGCCGUGUGAAGACAGCGCUCUCCCCCUGAGCUAAGCGAGC
rnacentral:tRNA from 1 species